rnacentral:misc_RNA from 1 species
CGACCCUCAAGCCUGGCUUGGUAAUGGGCCUUCGUCUCCUGGACGGGUCUGAAAAUCAGUGGCGAUGCUCUCCAGCUUCAAGCGUAGUAAAUCUGUCUUUGUCUUGAAUAGUUGGCUGGUGUGUUAGCCAAGUGAAUCUAUAUUUCUCCU